GUACUACCCUAACCUUUCCGUUUACUCGAGGGAUGUCCUUUACGAAAGAAAGUAUUAAUACCUGAUAGUAUGGUGAGAUUGCAUGAUAGCACCAUUAAAGAUUUUAUUGGUAAACAUGGGGAUGCGUUCCAUUAGGUAGUAGGCGGGGUAACGGCCCACCUAGCCGACGAUGGAUAGGGGUUCUGAGAGGAAGGUCCCCCCACAUUGGAACUGAGACACGGUCCAAACUCCUACGGGAGGCAGCAGUGAGGAAUAUUGGUCAAUGGGCGGGAGCCUGAACCAGCCAAGUAGCGUGAAGGAUGAAGGUCCUACGGAUUGUAAACUUCUUUUAUACGGGAAUAAAGUAUCCUACGUGUAGGAUUUUGUAUGUGCCGUAUGAAUAAGCAUCGGCUAACUCCGUG
rnacentral:rRNA from 1 species